rnacentral:sRNA from 1 species
UCCAGGGUCAUUGUUUCCUUCGCUACCCACUAGUGGUGGAUCUUUCUCAAGUCUAAAUAGUCUGUUUCCAAAUCUUAUACUGCCACCAACUACAACGCCCAAACCAAACAUAAUGGACCCACUAGGAUCUUUGGGAGGCAGCAGUCUCAAUCCCACCAACCCCAACGCUGUAGGCCCAAAGCCAAUGUCACCAGAUCUUCUCUCCGGCUUAAUUCCAAACAUGGGAACUCCGGGAGGAAUCGCACCUCCACCUCCAAGUGGUAAGUACAUCAUUUUUUUUUGG